GCAGCAUGGUCUUAGCUUGCUAAGGCCGAUGGCGACCGGCGCACGGGUGAGUAACACGUAUCCAACCUGCCGUCUACUCUUGGACAGCCUUCUGAAAGGAAGAUUAAUACAAGAUGGCAUCAUGAGUCCGCAUGUUCACAUGAUUAAAGGUAUUCCGGUAGACGAUGGGGAUGCGUUCCAUUAGAUAGUAGGCGGGGUAACGGCCCACCUAGUCUUCGAUGGAUAGGGGUUCUGAGAGGAAGGUCCCCCACAUUGGAACUGAGACACGGUCCAAACUCCUACGGGAGGCAGCAGUGAGGAAUAUUGGUCAAUGGGCGAGAGCCUGAACCAGCCAAGUAGCGUGAAGGAUGACUGCCCUAUGGGUUGUAAACUUCUUUUAUAAAGGAAUAAAGUCGGGUAUGGAUACCCGUUUGCAUGUACUUUAUGAAUAAGGAUCGGCUAACUCCGUGCCAGCAGCCGCGGUAAUACGGAGGAUCCGAGCGUUAUCCGGAUUUAUUGGGUUUAAAGGGAGCGUAGAUGGAUGUUUAAGUCAGUUGUGAAAGUUUGCGGCUCAACCGUAAAAUUGCAGUUGAUACUGGAUAUCUUGAGUGCAGUUGAGGCAGGCGGAAUUCGUGGUGUAGCGGUGAAAUGCUUAGAUAUCACGAAGAACUCCGAUUGCGAAGGCAGCCUGCUAAGCUGCAACUGACAUUGAGGCUC
rnacentral:rRNA from 1 species